rnacentral:rRNA from 1 species
CCUACGGGAGGCAGCAGUGGGGAAUAUUGGGCAAUGGGCGCAAGCCUGACCCAGCAACGCCGCGUGAAGGAAGAAGGCUUUCGGGUUGUAAACUUCUUUUGACAGGGAAGAGCAGAAGACGGUACCUGUCGAAUAAGCCACGGCUAACUACGUGCCAGCAGCCGCGGUAAUACGUAGGUGGCAAGCGUUGUCCGGAUUUACUGGGUGGAAAGGGCGGGUAGCCGGGCUGACAAGUCAGUUGUGAAAUCCGGGGGCUCAACCCCCGAACUGCAUUUGAAACUGUUGGUCUUGAGUAUCGGAGAGGCAGGCGGAAUUCCUAGUGUAGCGGUGAAAUGCGUAGAUAUUAGGAGGAACACCAGUGGCGAAGGCGGCCUGCUGGACGACAACUGACGGUGAGGCGCGAAAGCGUGGGGAGCAAACAGGAUUAGAUACCCUAGUAGUC